UACCAUUUUAUCUGGUGUUACUCCAGACAUGGAGUGUUACAAGGAGGAAAUCUUUGGUCCCGUUCUUGUAUGCAUGGAGGCAAGCAGCUUUGAUGAGGCCAUAUCCAUAAUAAAUAAAA